AAAAGUGUUAAAUGUCAGGGGUAAAAUGUUAAUUUGUCUAUUUAUGUGUUUUUGGACUAAAUUGAAUGAAAUUAUAUUUGAAUGAGUUUAAUUUGAAUAUUUUUAGAUCAAGAACUAAAGAAAUCGGAUUUGGAUCGGGGGAAAACCAAAGUUGUCGAAUAGUUGUCCCGUUUCGAUUAUCGUUGUCCGAGAUUGAGAAAGCUAGUUACGGGCUCGGGGAUCGUCAAGGAAGUCCGUCACACUAUCGAUCGUUAUUUCGGUAUUUUAUAAGUUUGAAACUUUGAACAUAUGGCAUGUAUAGGCUUGAUAUAUUAGUUUUGGUUAGUUUUGAGAUUGUAAAUAUAUGAGCCAUGCGAAAAUGACUUGAAAUAAUGCUUAUGUUUAUGCAUUUUCGGUUGUGUUGUGUUAUGAGUUAUGUUGGAAAUUAUGUUUCAUAGUAUAAAUGUAUGAUAUGCUUGAUAUAUAUAAA